AAGUAUAACAAAAUUUUGUUACCUGUAUUAUCAGAAAUUGCUGAAGAAUCCAUGUUGAAAGCUGUAAAAGAAACAGUUGCAGAUAACAGUGGAAAUGCUGACAUAAAAGUGGAAAUGCUGUGUUUAGAAGUCUGUCUGACAAAAAACUGCUGUCAAAGUGCUUACACGGACGAACUCAAAACCCCAAUGAAAGUUUUAAUAAUUGCAUCUGGAUACGCAUACCAAAAACUGUUUUUCAUUUUCGCUCGGGAGCUUUGCAUAGCUUGGAAAGUUUUCUAACGGGGGUUUAAUUUCAGCACCACUUGACUCGUUAUAAUGAUGGCGUGCCGCAGUUAAAAAUCCCCCCCAUCGAUUUUCAAACUCGAAGAUGAAGGAAACAUACCGAAAAAACAAAUAAAAAAAUGAACAAAUAUUUAAAAAAAAAAAAAAAAAAAAAACAGGAGUGCAAAUGUGUGCAUAUCGUGUAACUUAUACAUUUUAUCAGCAGAAAGUUCAACAACCGUUAGGAUUAAGCUGAUAAAAUAAAAAAAUAAAUGAAUAAACAAAUUUACAAUCUCA